CGACACCUGGGGGCUGGGGUCUUCUCGACUGAGCUCGGAACCUCUAGUUUAGCGUUGUUCCUACCCAGUGGAUGGGCUUUGGCUGUUGCUUGUGGAGCGCUGGGUGUUUCUCUAGGAACCUCUCCAUUUUCUAGUUGAUUGGGAAGCUUCCCCGAACGUAGCUAGGAAUUUUAGCACGAAAGUCUUUCUACAAUGAUGAAUUGUUCAACCACAAAUAUUUAUUUACUUGUUGCUUCUGUAGGGGGCUAGGGGCAAAUUGAUGCUUCAACUGAGGCCUCUGUUUGUUGCAUUCCGCUCAGUAGCCUAAUUCAUGGUGUAGCUGGAUUACUGCAGCUUGCAUAGGUGAUUAGGUGCUAUUAAGUAUCAAGUAUUGAUUGAAAAACUAUCAGACUGAAAUGUUAACUAUGUUGCUCAAACGGUUAGUCAGAAAUGCUGUGAAAGGGCAUUUGUUCUUGUCAGAGGAGAAGUGACGAAGCCUAAUUGACCUUGUGUUGGUGAAGAUAUUCACUCAAACAUCAAAAUCAUAAUAACAAGUUUGAUUGAAUAUCGAUUUCAUGCCCAUGAAUAGUACAUGUCAGGGGGUAUUUAUAGAGGUCCUUGCUUUCGUAAUUGCUUAUACAAAGUCUAAAAUACCCCUAACUUGUUAGAUUACAAUUGUUCGUCCGCGCAAGGACAGUUUGGUCAUUUGUCCUCUCUGUUGGGGGCCUUCGUCCUCCGAAGGUCCUCAAAAACAUGAUUUGACAAUGUUUUCCAAGUGGAUUAUGUGAACAGGUACCUUCGGACUCAGAAUUACGAACAUGAAGUGCGGUCAGGACGAAGCCUGAACCAGACGAAGGACGGGCUGAUUACCAAGCUCCACGAAGGAUGGUGCACAGCCGAAGCUGUGCGCAGGGAAGCUUCGUCGCGAUAGCAGAGAGGGGAACCGACUUAAAGAUGAAAAGACUACGUGGGCCUUGUCAGAUUUCCAUAAGUCAUUGACAAAUGUAAUGGACAUAAAUGUAAUUUUACGUGGGCUGCGUCCCGCGUCUAUAAAUAGAUGAACAGUACUCCCGUACUGUUCACGCUGACUUGGCAUUUGCUUUUGCGUCACGCUUGUACUUUUUACCUUCUCUCAGGACCGAAGGUACAUCUGUAAUUUGAAAUCAUUUCUAUUUUUCCAUAUUAAUAAAAUAGAAAUGAUUCUAUGAUGAUGCUUAUAUUAUAUUUCAUGCUUUAUAUGAAUCCUUCGUCAUUACUUGUUAUGUUUACGAAGGUAUGUCUCUUAUGACCUUCGUCCGAAACUCAUUAUUUUCCGAAGGGACAUAAUGCUUCGAAGGACGAAGGACUUUAACACUUAACACUUUUUAUGUUGCCUUGUUCUUAACUCUUAGCAUUUGAGAACAAGUCCCCAACAUUGGCGCCCACCUCCGGUGAACUCACUUCCACUUCGAGUUUUUUGAACACCUUCGGAAGCUAUAGACCCUCGCUAUGGCGCCGAAGAAAGCUUCAGCGACUGGGGCUGCAGCACUGCAACCGCUGGACCCCAACCAGGAAACCGUCUCUCUCCGGGAGGCCCGAAACCAGAAGAGGAAGGCUGUCAGCCCGACGAUUCAGGAGGAUGAACUAGACCAAGAGAUCAGGGACAUGGAGAUGCUACAUCAACAGGUGCAGAGGAAGAAGGAGAAGAUGGCCAGGCUAGCUGAGCUGCAGAGGCAGAUAGACGAAGCUUCUGAAGAAGUCCGUCAUCUUACCCACGAUGAGCAGAACCGAAGGCCUCAACAAAAAGACCUUCAUCAGGAGGGCUUUUUCAAUGAAGAUGACUGGUAUGACAAUUUUCAUCAUGGAAAUUUUGUUUUCGACGAUGCUUCUCCUCUGUCCGCUGAGCUGCAGGCUACACCUUGGCCUCCGUCCUAUAAGCCACCCCAGCUUCCCAUGUUCGAUGGCCAUUCGGACCCGAAGCAGUUUUUGAUGAGUUACGAAGCAACAGUGUCUUCGUAUGGUGGCAAUGCUGCAGUAAUGGCAAAGUCUUUCGUUAUGGCCGUCAGGAGUGUUGCUCAGACCUGGUAUUCCUCCCUUCGGCCAGGAACGAUCACUUCAUGGCAGAAGCUGAAGGAUAUGUUAUUGACCAGCUUUCAAGGAUUUCAGACGAAGCCGGUCACUGCUCAAGCCUUGUUCCAGUGCACUCAGGAUCAUGAAGAAUACCUUCAGGCGUAUGUCAGAAGGUUCUUGCGUUUGAGAGCGCAGGCACCAACGGUGCCCAAUGAAAUUGUCAUCGAAGCCAUCAUCAAGGGGCUUCGUCCUGGACCUGCUGCUCAAUACUUUGCUAGGAAGCCUCCUCAGACCCUGGAGAAGCUGCUCCAAAAGAUGGACGAGUACAUUCGUGCUGACAAUGACUUUCGCCAAAGAAGGGAGGAGGCCUUCAGAUUUUCUGAAAUGACCAGGGGCUUCGGAGGAAGAUCCUAUCCGAGGCAUGUCAGGUCCAUCCACAACUCCACUCAGAAUGAUGAUAGGGGGAGUCAGCAGAACAGACCGCAGUGCUCCUCACAGGCUUCGGGGCAACAACAAACUUUCUUCCGGCCACCAGCUCCAAGAGGCAGAGGCGCCAGGGGCUUCGGCGGAAGAUUCGGAGAUCAACCAAGGAAACUGUUUUGCUUGUUCUGUGGAGAAAGCAAGGGCCAUACCACCAGGACGUGCCAUAUUACAAUCCAAAAGCAAAAGGAAAUAGCCGAAGCUGCAUCUCAACAAGCUCAGCCGAAGCAGGUCAUGCAUACUGCUUCGUAUCAUCCACCUUACAUCCCACAAUACAUAGACAACCACCCUGCAGCUUCUGUAGCUUCGGCAAGUCAACCUCAAGCUUCCUGGCAGCAGCCUCCGCCUCCACCUCCACUGCAACAGGGUCAACAGCCAGAAGGGAGUCAAUAUGCCCCACACCAAAGGGACUUCAGAGAACAAUCCGAAGCUCGCACAGUCAACAGCACUGUGCCAGAGUCGAAGCACAUUUAUUGACACAUAUCCUACCUUUGAUAGCAGUCUUUUCUAUUCAGUUUUAUUUUCUGUGAAACAAAGAACAUUGUUAGUUUUCAUGUAAUAAUUUCGUUGUUUCCCACGAGGAAAACCCAUUUUCUUCACAGGCUUUACCUCAUUCAAGUUAUUAUUCGGAGACGAAGCAAUAACCCCGGAAGAAGCCAAAGCUGGAUCAAUAAGAGUAGUAGCUUCGGCAGAAUCAGGUCCCGAAGAUGCUUGCCUUGUGGAAAACGAUGCUUUAGAAGGGAUCAGGCUUCAGGCCGUGGAGAAUAUCAAUAAAUAUCAGGCUGAAACAGUUAAAUGGCGAGAUAGAAAAGUCCGGUUAAAAAAUAUUGAGCCGGGACACUUGGUGCUUCGGAGAGUGGCUAACCCAGAUACAGUGGGUAAGCUACAGUUGAAAUGGGAAGGACCAUUCUUAGUAGUAUCUUCGUCAAGGCCUGGAUCGUACAGAUUAAAGGACAUGGAUGGCAACGAAAUUCCAAGGUCUUGGAAUGCGGAUGAGCUUCGGCGAUACUAUGUAUAACAUGAUGUAAUUUUUUAUGUUUUUUCUUUUCUUUUUCAUGGCACCCUUUUCCUUUCCGAAGGGGGAGAAAGGUUUUUAAUGGGGCCAUCAUGUGUAAUUUCCUUUUUUAGUCUUAUAAGAGCAAAAUCCCCCAAAAAAUGUAAAUGUAACAGCUGAGAACGCACCAUCGAGUGCAGGAACUGAAAAAGAAAAAAGAGAAGAAGCUCCAAAGACGUUCCUAAGGGAAUGCAGAGCUUAUACCGCCUAAGUAAAAGGCGAAGAAACUCCAAAGACGUUCCUAAGGGAAUGCAGAGUUUAUACCGUCUAAGUAAAAGACGAAGAAGCUCCAAAGACGUUCCUAAGGGAAUGCAGAGCUUAUACCGCCUAAGUAAAAGGCGAAGAAACUCCAAAGACGUUCCUAAGGGAAUGCAGAGUUUAUACCGUCUAAGUAAAAGACGAGGAAGCUCCAAAGUCGUUCCUAAGGGAAUGCAGAGCUGAUGUGUGGUUGAUUCCAAGGAAAUAAUGGUUGAGUGUGGCUUCGGUUAUAUGUUUUGGACAUUCAUUCGCACAUCACAUUACAUCAUAGCAUUUGCAUUCAUAAGCAUUCAUUCAUGGCAUCUGUGUUACUAAGUGGUUGCUUCGGCAAAAAGGAGAAGUAUUCUUUUAUGUUUUGGACUGUACAAAAAAAAAAGAAAGAAAAGCUUCGGCAGAAAGAAGAAGUAGUCUUUUAUGUUUUGUACAAAAAAGCAAAGCUUCCGCAGAAAGAAGAAGCAGUCUUUAAUGCUUCGUUGUGUACGAAAAGAAGGGAAGGUGUUUUUCGCCUUCGGCUCAAAAUAUUGAUUUCGUCCACAUCAAAGCGUCUUAAUAAAAGGGUAAGGAUAUAUUACAAGGUAUGUACAAAGUUCCUUGAGAACGGUUUAAUUGUAUUUACAACAAGUUGUUACAAAUUUUCUAGCCUACUACUACUAAUCUUCUUCAGGCUCCCGCUUCGGCGGCAUAUUCUUUAAUCACCUUCAGCUUCGUCAUCCUACAUGAAUCCAGGUAUCCAGAGUAAAAAUCAAGUAUGAAGGAGAAGGUAAGUACAAAGUAGGAUUUCUUACUGGUUCAAGAUGACUUCGAGCUUCGUCUCCAGCCUUCUCCCGCCCGCCUUUUGUCCAUAUCAUUUUUAUAAAUCUAUUUGAGAUACUUCGGGCGAGGUCAGGUAUAUCGUCCAGGAUUGAUGGAGACAGGGUGAAGUUGGGCCUGUUGACGAUCUUUCCAUGCUCGCAGCCAGCCUUCAGGAAUGCUGCAGCAGUACCCCGAGAAGCUACCCAGGCACAGAAGUCACCGUGCCCAGCUAUAACUUCGUCAAGUUCUUCAAUUUCAGCUUCGAUAUGAUCGAAGGCUUUUGGUAAAUCUUCAUCCGAAGGGGUAAAUUUCCCGCUGCUGGCUCCAACUGAGUAAAAGAUCUUCUUUAGUUGUUGGAUACAAUUGUUGCUAAAAUUCAAACAUUUAUCCUGAAGGCUUGUUAAUGAUUUCUUCAAAUUUGAGUUGGCUUGGACUUCGGCUUCAAGUUUAGAAUUAAGCUCUAGCUUUUCUUGUUCAAACUGUUUUGAUUGACCGAUAAGCUUCGAAUUCAAUUCUGAUAUUUUAGCUUCGGUCUCUGCCAGCAAGCCUUCGGUUGAUUGAAGUUCGAAGUCUUUCUUUUCAAUGAUGACUGAUUGUUCUUUUAUUUUGCUCUCCAAAUUUCCAAUUAUAGCUUCGUGUUUUUUGUCCUCUAAAUCCUGCUGCAUCUUCAGAGCUUUGCUCAGUAGCAUGCUCUGCACAAAAACAGUUUUCGUUAGUAACAUUUUCAUUAUCCAAAGCAAUAAGGAACAGAGAAAAGAUUGUUUACCUUGAAAUUGGAAUAAAAUAAGCUGCCGACGAUAUGCUGUCGUCGGUAGCGGCUGAUAUCUAUCUCUAGCUUCGGAAAACCGAUACUCUUUGACAGAGUACCGAUGACCUUAGCUCCGGUUUGGUCUCGAAUGCAGCCUAAUUUUUCAUCGUCCACACCUCCGAAUAGAAGAGCUCCUGGCCUGUAUCCGCAAGAUUUGGCAUAGUCUUUUAGCUCUUCUAUUUCGUCCUCCGAAAGUUUUUGCCCAAUUAAAUUUUGAAAUGUGUAGGCUUCGUCGUCCGAAGCGACUUCGGCUAUUUCUUUCCCCUUCUCAGGCACUGCGGCCAUGACUUUUUUAGCAGCAGCGGCAGCUUCUUCUGCAGCCAUGUCUUCUAAAAUUUUGUCGAUAUUUUCAAUGGUAGUCUCUAAGUUCACAUCUUCGGCUGUAGCGGCUUCGGUAGCCGCGACCUCCGAAGGUGCGACUUCGACGUUUGUUGUGUCUUCAGCAGCUGCUGUUUUCUGAAUUGAUGCUCUCGGUAGCGUCUUGUCAAUAACUUCUGUUACGGCAAUAAUUCUUUGCCUUUUUGCUUUGGUUAUCUUCGUUUUUUCCGGCUCCGCCACCUUUUGAAAAAGCUUCGUCAGUCGAGGCCCUAAUGGACUUAGCUUCGUGGGCAUGGGUUCAGUCAUUACCUUUAGAAUUUCCUCCACGUCGCUGGUAGAAGGUGGUGUGGGGGUCCCCUCUCCUUCGGAUAGUUUUCGCUUUGGAGUUGAUAUUUUUCUCUUGACAAUUUUCUUCUUUUUUGGUGGUUGUUCUUCAUCCUUGUUUAAAGCUUCGGCCUCUCUUUUUCUUCUCUGGCCCUCAGCAUCCUUGUUCAGCUGCGCAUAGUCAGGAUAUUCGAAGCCCAGUGCAUCAAGCACUCGGCUCAGCCUUCGCUUCGGACGGGUACCGAAGGCUGCUGUCACCAGUAUCUUCGGACAAACCUUCAAGAAUCUCCUUGGUGAUUUUCUCCGUAUUAGUCUCCGCCAUCGCUAUAAGGAAUCCCAAGUUCUUCUCCUCGUCGAGACUCGGCUUCGUAUCAGCAGGGAUCUUCUUACCUUCAGACAUCUUCGGAAACACUAAAAAACUGUUUUCAAGGCCGAAGCUUCAAAAUCAAAAAGAUCAGCAAAUCUUAGUGCACAAGAGCUAAAAAUUUAGUGGGCCGAAGCAGAUGGCAAGUGUGCGUACCAAAUGAGUUUGUGGUAUGAUCUUAUUUAUACGCCCAGUUCGUUGAAAAUUGAAAGACCCUGCUUGUCAGUGAAAGUUGCUAUUCUAGCAAAGGGAAGGUGUUUUUUCGGACCUUCGGCUCAAGGCCUUCGUCCAUAUCGCAAUCUGAAUUUAUCAUUAACAAAUUAAUAUUGCGAGGGGCUACUGUUGGGGGCCUUCGUCCUCCGAAGGUCCUCAAAAACAUGAUUUGACAAUGUUUUCCAAGUGGAUUAUGUGAACAAGUACCUUCGGACUCAGAAUUACGAACAUGAAGUGCGGUCAGGACGAAGCCUGAACCAGACGAAGGACGGGCUGAUUACCAAGCUCCACGAAGGAUGGUGCACAGCCGAAGCUGUGCGCAGGGAAGCUUCGUCGCGAUAGCAGAGAGGGGAACCGACUUAAAGAUGAAAAGACUACGUGG
rnacentral:lncRNA from 1 species